rnacentral:rRNA from 1 species
GAUGAACGCUAGCUACAGGCUUAACACAUGCAAGUCGAGCGGCAGCGCGUCUAGUUUACUAGAUGGCGGCGAGCGGCGGACGGCUGAGUAACGCGUGGGAACGUGCCCCAAAGUGAGGAAUAACUGCCCGAAAGGGUAGCUAAUACCGCAUAUGGUCUUCGGAUUAAAGUAUUUAUACGCUUUGGGAGCGGCCCGCGUCGGAUUAGGUUGUUGGUAGGGUAAUGGCCUACCAAGCCGACGAUCCGUAGCUGGUCUGAGAGGAUGAUCAGCCAGACUGGGACUGAGACACGGCCCAG